UACAUGGGGUGCAAACGUUGCUCGGAAUUAUUGGGCGUAAAGCGCACGUAGGCGGUUCGUUAAGUUGGAUGUGAAAGCCCUCGGCUCAACCGAGGAAGUGCAUCCAAAACUGAUGAGCUUGAGUAUGGAAGAGGAUGACGGAAUUCCCGGUGUAGAGGUGAAAUUCGUAGAUAUCGGGAGGAACACCGGUGGCGAAGGCGGUCAUCUGGGCCAAUACUGACGCUGAGGUGCGAAAGCGUGGGGAGCAAACAGG
rnacentral:rRNA from 1 species